rnacentral:rRNA from 1 species
GAUGAACGCUGGCGGCGUGCCUAACACAUGCAAGUCGAACGGGAAUACAUUGGUAGCAAUACUGGUGUAUUCUAGUGGCGGACGGGUGAGUAACGCGUGAGCAACCUACCUCUCAGUGGGGGAUAACAGCUGGAAACGGCUGCUAAUACCGCAUAAAGUACUUUAGGGGCAUCCCUUAGGUACCAAAGAUUUUAUCGCUGAGAGAUGGGCUCGCGUCUGAUUAGCUAGUUGGUAGGGUAACGGCCUACCAAGGCGACGAUCAGUAGCCGGGCUGAGAGGUUGACCGGCCACAUUGGGACUGAGACACGGCCCAGACUCCUACGGGAGGCAGCAGUGGGGAAUAUUGGGCAAUGGGGGAAACCCUGACCCAGCCAUGCCGCGUGCAGGAUGAAGGCCCUAUGGGUUGUAAACUGCUUUUAGCCGGGAUAAACACCCGUUUUAUAACGGGCCCGAAGGUACCGGCUGAAUAAGACAUCGGCUAACUCCGUGCCAGGCAGCCGCGGUAAAAGUC